rnacentral:lncRNA from 1 species
CACGUGCCAUGACUGCUUUUGUCUCAGAGAGCAACUAGUAGGUUAAACCAAAUAUAAUUGCCAACACUUGACAGAUUUUAACUUGCAACUGUGGCAACUUCAUGUGACUCAACCUAAUACUCUGGCCUCCCUCAGUGAGCUCGGUUUCAAUUCCUCAUUCCCUUUGUGGACUUCCAACUGCCUCAGUGGUUCUCAGUCUUGGCCACAUGGUAGAAUCACCUGGAGAGCUUUUGAAAACUGAACGCCCGGGCCACACGCAGGACCAGACUCUGGAGGAGGAGCCCAGUAUUCGGCAGGUUUGGGAAACACCCUGGUAGUCUAAUGUGGGGUCAGGCUGGAGCACACAGAGCUACUCAGAGCUUUUGGCAGCACCCAGUUCUGUGUCAUGGAUUCCUUCCACCUGGUUGAAAGAUGUGGCCAACUGUGAUGAAAGAUUGGGGAAUCGCUGCGGCAACCCUGAGGCUUAUGAACUCAUAGAUGGCUGGGCCCGACCCCCAGAGUGUCUGGAAUGGCACCCGAGAAUCUGCAUUUCUAACAAGGUCCCAGGUGAUGCUGAUGCUGCUGGUUCAGGAUCCACACUUUGAGAACCACUGCACUGUUACUGUCUUCCAUGGGCUACGUGCCUACCUCAUAGUAGGUCUUUCACGAAUGUUUGUUGGAAAGAUAAAUUGGAUAACUGUGGCAGAAGGAAAGCUGGUGGUUUCUCUGUGCUGGAUGCUGGGGACGUUGCCAUGACAAGACAAACCACCUCUGUCCUCAUGGAGCCUAUGCUCAGGGAGAAAUACAAAACUUCCAGAAAUGGAACUGCAGGAUCCAGGAAAAGCUUAAAACCACCCAGAACCCUGUUUCUGUACUCCCAUACUCCUCCCUAUUUCUCCCGAUUCCGUCCCACAGCAGUCACACAGCGGCUGUGAAGAAAAGAACAAACGAGGGUCCCCCCUUCUAACCUCCAGCAUCUUCCAUUAAUUAUGAGGUUCUUUCCGGUGGUGGGACUUCCAAGUGGAGGACACAUUGCUCCCAUGCAGAAUGCUCCCUCCGAGGGAAACGAUGGUGACACAGAAUGGCGAGAUGGACGACAGUGCUGUCCCAGGGGUGCACAUGCAGGAUGGAGCCCCAGUCCAAUGUCUGCCCCAUCAAGCCAACCGCCCCACCACCAAGGGCAGCUUUCGAAAACAGAAACACUUCCUCGAAACUUCCCUGGUCCCCACAGUAUGGCAGUGGUCCCCAAGCCGGGGGGCCCAUCAGAGCUGUCUGGACACGACCUCACCCUAAACCUUCAGAAACAGAGUUCUCGGGGCAGACACGAAAAGGAAAUCUGCAUUUAUACUUACUUUGCCAGUCCUCCAGCUUUUUGGAAUCAGAGAAAUGACUCCAACCAUCAUAAAAGAACUCAAGCUUCCACGAUAUAUAUUUCCAAAGGACUGUCCUUUCUUUCCUAACUUCCUCUGAGGAGUCCUGGUCUGAAGGGGUCUGGUCUGAGAUUCUCCUUGUCUUUUCUUUCUCCCGUCACCCCAACUCUGAGCUCCUGCCCUCCACCUUUUCAUCAUCAGCUUGGUGGUCUCCCUGUCUUGUCUUUGUUUCAAUUGAUCCUCUUCCUUCUUUCCCCAGGGCAUCACCACCACCAGGGUGACACUAAUUAGUGGUUAAUAAAGCUUAACUAAUGACAUGGGAACACUGAAGACUGGACUGGAGAUUAGGUAGCAUGCACCAUCAAACGGCACUCCUCCUGAAAUAACUUUGCCCUUCCCGCGGUUAGAGAAGUAAUGGAUGGAGGUCACCGUCCUUAUGCCCUGACCUUGCCUGCUCCUGCCCCAGAGAGCCUUCUCCCAUCGCCUCUCUCCCCUCUACCCCAGGUCCAAGUUCCUUCCUGCUAUCAACUCAAUGUUGGUGCUUCC